rnacentral:lncRNA from 1 species
AGUACAUGCUGUGAUUUCUCCCACAGAAGAAAUCAUUCUUGAGCAAAGUGAACAUCUAAAAAUGUCCUGGAUUGCCCACAUGCAGAGAUAAUAAUCAAAGUAUUUAACUGGUACAGCAUGGUCCUCAACCAAUCAUAAAAGAUGCUGGUCUACAUGCUGCAGGGCUGCCUCACCAGCUGACCAUAGGCUCUGCCCAGUGAAACACAGGGGUCCCAGUUCUGCCUGGGUGAAAUCUGCAGGUAGGCUUGAGAGGUCAUUGAGCAGAGAAGGGUUUACUUGGCUUUCUCCAAGGGGACUCAGAGGUAGGUGGGUAUGAUUUUGAUUCCUCCUCAGAAAAAGAAGUGAUGUGUAGAAACAUUUAUUGAACAUCUCUGAAGGGAGCUAAAGGCCCAGCAGGGGCCACAUCGGCAGGGACUUUGAGAGCUUUACAUUCCAACAUAUUAUUUGUGUUUUCUUCUGAGUAUGGAAGUAAAGCCACAAACCGCAUCAGGUUUCCUUCUGGAAGAAUGUCUCUUCUCCAUUGUGGGUGGUCUGGGCAAGACCAAAAGGCAAAGCAGCCAGCCUGUAGGUGUGUAUAUGAUCCAAGCCAUGUUUGGUGGAGAAUGGACCUCUUGGAAGAUCAUGUGGCAGCAACUACUGAAAAGGGAAGAAAAGAAGCCAGUCCCUGGAUCUUCAGCAAACAAGAGGAAGAAGGCACAAGAGGUAGGUGUGGGCCUGAGGGACACGGUGUACGUCCCUUGAGGAAGAUCUGCUUCACCACAGUUGGCUCUCAGGUACCCAGGGAGCUAGAAUUCCAGCCUGGUUUCUCCAUGGCCUCCCAGGUUGACCGGCUUGGGAGUCAGGCAUUCCUCACAAGCAAAGCCCUAGUAGCUUGAGCAGAUACUAGGAAAAGGACAAAGGCUCAGGUCAGGCUCUCUUCUUGUUAGCAAUUCUGGUAAGACAGGGAGUAGGUGGGCAUUGAAAUCAUGGGCUAGGACUUCCCUGGAAGUCCAGUGGUUAAGACUCCACGCUUCCACUGCAGGGGGGUAUGGGUUUGAUCCCUGGUUGGGGAACUAAGAUCCCGCAUGCCAUGUGGUAUAACCAAGAAAAAAAAAAAAAAGUAAAGAAAAGAAAUCAUGGACUAAAAUGAGGCCUUGCUGCAAUAUGUGGACUUAUUCUUAAGAAUAUGGUAAGAAUAUGUCACUUACUAUGACAUUUACAUUUACUGCACAAUAAUUAUGCAUAUGUUUAUGCAUAUUUCAUGGGAACCGUAAUGUGAACUGGGUGGAUUUUCCUUUUUUUAUGCUUAUUUGCAUGAAGAAAAGUGAGAAAUGAAUUUUCUGUCGUAAGUGCGACCAUUCCUUUGCCAGUGUUGGGUACAACACAACCAUAUCAAACCCUCAAAGAGGGGCCAUCUAAGCACCUGCCAACCUGGCCCACCCACAGAGCUUUGCCUAGAAGCCGUGUCUCUUAUAGAAUUUAGCUCGAGCUAUAAUAUCACUGAUGACGUCAGUCUAUGUCCGCGGGGGUGGCAGUGGCUUCAGUUCCUGACUUGAAGGCUGAGAAACCACCUGAAAUGAAACCAGAGGUUCAGAUUGAAAGAUUAACUUUCAGCAGAAAUAAGAUAUGAGCAUUCCCGGGAUGUCAGCCCUCCAGGGAAAUCUUCCAAAGCAGAC